ACGACGUCUGCAAUGCAAAUGGAGGAGCACUGGCAUGACGCCAGGGUCGCAUCUCUCUCAUCUGCCUUUUCUGGCGAAUAACCGGUGAUGGACUGUUUGAGGAGGAGAGGGCUCGGCGGUGCGAUCGGGUGUCUUUCCCUGAUGAUGCUGUUUUGCCUGUAACACGGGGCCCCACACCCCCUUGAGCAGCUGCUGCCUGGCCUUGUGGCCUUGCCAGCCUCACCCUGCUCUCCACCCUGCUUUUUACUUGGCUCUAGAUCACUCAACAUCUUUUACUGGCCUUUACUGGGGAGCUUGAGUACCAAUAGCAACUUUACCAACUUGCUGUGAGACCCGAAAGCUGAGUUAGUGAAGCAGGAAGAGAGAGGACAGGCUCUGUCAAGAACGAUGGCUGGAGAGCCUGAGCUUAGUUACCAAUAUCGACAUCUGGGAGAUGGCUCCAAUCCAGUGGAGAGGUGCCCAGCUUAUGUCCCACGUCACCCAAAGGCCUCACCCUCACUAGUAUGUAACUGUGCAGGAUCAUGAGGUUGGU